rnacentral:piRNA from 1 species
UCUCAUUAAUUUGAAGGUUCAACGGCAGC